CCUACGGGUGGCAGCAGUGAGGAAUAUUGGUCAAUGGACGCAAGUCUGAACCAGCCAUGCCGCGUGCAGGAAGAAGGCUCUAUGAGUUGUAAACUGCUUUUGUACGAGGGUAAACGCAGAUACGCGUCUCUGUCUGAAAGUAUCGUACGAAUAAGGAUCGGCUAACUCCGUGCCAGCAGCCGCGGUAAUACGGAGGAUUCAAGCGUUAUCCGGAUUUAUUGGGUUUAAAGGGUGCGUAGGCGGUCGGAUAAGUUAGAGGUGAAAUCCCGAGGCUCAACUUCGGAAUUGCCGCUGAUACUGUUCGUCUAGAGAGGAGUAGCGGUAUGCGGAAUGUGUGGUGUAGCGGUGAAAUGCUUAGAUAUCACACAGAACACCGAUUGCGAAGGCAGCUUACCAAGCUACUUCUGACGUUGAGGCACGAAAGCGUGGGUAGCAAACAGGAUUAGAUACCCGAGUAGUC
rnacentral:rRNA from 1 species